GUGUUUACUACGUUGUAGUGUGGUGUAACGAAUUGUUCCAGACCUGAAAACGAAUGUGUACAACAUGUAUUUAAUGUGUACAACUUUAUUUACUUUAUCCUAUAGAAAAUUCCCUCCAAAGUAAUCUAGAGCAACAGAAAAUUCCACACCUUUAUCACGAGGAAAUCUGCAAUGGCAUUUAGGAAUGACAAAUAGAAGCUCAACUAUUUGAAGCAGGAGACCGAAGAGAAAAAGGAAGAGAGAUGAUAUUACAGCUGCAGAAAAGGAAAUAAUUGAAAACGCAGAAGAAUAUAUUAAUGUACUGUGUGAAAUAUGUGACUUGUAUAAGCAAUCAGUUGCAAAUCAGUCUGCUGUCAUAGAAAAUCAAAAUAUAAUUAUUAAUUUAUUAAAAAAUAAAUCAUGCAUUUCAAAUAUUACAGUGUUUUCAUUCUUGUAUGUAUUUCUGCAGUGUGGGAUUCAUAUUUUAAUUGUAAAAUUUACUACUUUCUUAAUUUUAUAAAAUUUUGUGAUUAUAAAAAUUA
rnacentral:lncRNA from 1 species